rnacentral:rRNA from 1 species
GACGAACGCUGGCGGCGUGCUUAACACAUGCAAGUCGAACGGUAAGGCCCUUCGGGGUACACGAGUGGCGAACGGGUGAGUAACACGUGGGUGAUCUGCCCUGCACUUCGGGAUAAGCCUGGGAAACUGGGUCUAAUACCGGUUAGGACCCUGGGAUGCAUGUCCUGGGGUGGAAAGCUUUUGCGGUGUGGGAUGGGCCCGCGGCCUAUCAGCUUGUUGGUGGGGUGAUGGCCUACCAAGGCGACGACGGGUAGCCGGCCUGAGAGGGUGACCGGCCACACUGGGACUGAGACACGGCCCAGACUCCUACGGGAGGCAGCAGUGGGGAAUAUUACACAAUGGGCGCAAGCCUGAUGCAGCGACGCCGCGUGAGGGAUGACGGCCUUCGGGUUGUAAACCUCUUUCAGCACCGACGAAGCGCAAGUGACGGUAGGUGCAGAAGAAGGACCGGCCAACUACGUGCCAGCCGCCGCCGUAA